GCAAAUUAAACAAACAAAAGAGAAAUCAACUUUCGAUGGCCUGAAUUUGGAUAGCUGCAUCGAAGUCCUCCCAAAAGAAGCAUGGAAGUUCCAAAACUUCAAAUAUCAUCAGAGCUAGCAGGUUGUCGAUAACAAUUCCAUGAACAAGCUCAUAUGGCUGUCAUGAGAAACAGGUUGUCCACUGAUCAUAGUGAAUCACAUCCAUGGAAUGCAUGUAAUACGAUGUAUGAACCUGCAAACAGAAAGUAAAUGGCCAUUAUUCAGAAUUUCUGGGGAAAAAAAUGCUAAUGAUAUAUCACUGGUCAGAGCACAUAUGGCCCCCACCACCUCCC
rnacentral:lncRNA from 1 species